GUCAUUGCCUCUGCGCAUGAUGUGAUAAUUAUCACUCAUCAAUAGCACGCAUGAAUAAGAGUCCAGCUCUCUAAUCGUCCGUAAGGACAAUUUGACAAUUUGACCUCAAAUCAGGUAGGACUACCCGCUGAACUUAAGCAUAUCAAUAAGCGGAGGAAAAGAAACUAACAAGGAUUCCCCUAGUAACUGCGAGUGAAGCGGGAAAAGCUCAAAUUUAAAAUCUGGUGGUCUUUGGCCAUCCGAGUUGUAAUCUAGAGAAGUGUUAUCCGCGUUGGACCGUGUACAAGUCCCCUGGAAUGGGGCGUCAUAGAGGGUGAGAAUCCCGUCUUUGACACGGACUACCAAGGCUUUGUGAUGCACUCUCAAAGAGUCGAGUUGUUUGGGAAUGCAGCUCAAAAUGGGUGGUAAAUUCCAUCUAAAGCUAAAUAUUGGCGAGAGACCGAUAGCGAACAAGUACCGUGAGGGAAAGAUGAAAAGAACUUUGGAAAGAGAGUUAAACAGUACGUGAAAUUGUUGAAAGGGAAACGCUUGAAGUCAGUCGCGUCUGCCAGGGAUCAACCUUACUUUUGUGAGGCGUACUUCCUGGUUGAUGGGUCAGCAUCAGUUUUGGUCGCUGGAUAAAGGUCAGAGAAAUGUGGCACCUUCGGGUGUGUUAUAGUCUUUGAUCAGAUACAGUGGCUGGGACUGAGGAA
rnacentral:rRNA from 1 species